AUGGACCCCGCGACGGCGGCCAUGGGCUCCCUCCUCCCCAAGCUGUUCGAGCUCCUCCACGGAGAAUACAAGCUGCAGAAGGGCGUGAAGAAAGAUGUACAAUUUCUCGAGAGGGAGAUGAGGAGCAUAGACGCCGCACUCCGCAAAGUGGCCAUGGUGCCGCGUGACCAGCUCCAUGACAACUCCAAGAUCUGGGCCAAUGAUGUCAGGGAGCUGGCAUACGAGAUGGAGGAUGUCGUUGAACGCUUCAUGGUGGGCGUCCAGGGCUUCGAGCCCGCCGCUAACCCCGACGGCUUAAAAGGGUUCGUGAAGAAGGUGGCCAGCUUGUUCACAAAAGGCAAGGCGCGCCACCAGAUCGCCGAUGCAAUCAAAGGCAUCAAGGAUCAGGUCCAGCAGGUGGCGGAUCGACGCGACCGGUACAAGAUUGAUGAUGUUGAGGCAAGUCAGGCUACUACAACCAUCGUUGACCCUGUGGACCCUCGCUUGAUGGUUCAGUUCAAAGAUCAGAGAGAGCUUGUUGGCAUCGAGGGGCCAAGAGACGAGCUAAUCAAGAGGCUGGCAGAUGAAGAUGAUUGUGUGUCCAAGCAGCAGCUCAAGAUCCUCUCGAUCUUCGGAUUUGGAGGACUUGGCAAGACGACUCUUGCCAGAGCAGUUUACGACAAAAUACAAGCACAAUUCGUAUGCAAGGCUUUUGUUUCUGUCGGUCAGAAGCCUAAUCUGAAGAAUGUUCUGAUAAGUAUUCUCCUCCGAAUUGAAAAAGCCUCUUGUCACAAUAUUACACUCUUAGAUGAGGUGCUGCUCAUUGAAAAACUCCGAGAACUGCUUACGAACAAGAGGUACCUCAUCAUCAUUGAUGAUAUAUGGGAUUUGAGUUCAUGGGAUAUAAUCAAAUGUGCUUUUACUAAUAGUAAGUGUGGAAGCAGAGUAAUCACAACUACUCGUAUCUUUGAAGUGGCAAAAGAGGCAGGUGACAUUUACAAGCAAGAACCUCUUUCUGAUGGUAGAUCGAAGGAAUUGUUCUGUAUGAGAUUAUCUAUUAGCAAAAGCAAAAGCCCUUAUCAUGAAUCGGUUAAGAUAUCUGAGAAGAUAUUGCAGAAAUGUGGUGGCAUACCACUAGCUAUCAUUACAAUAGCUAGCUUGUUGGCUAGUAAACCAGUAACAGACUGGCCUGGGGUCUAUGACUCUAUUGGUUUUGGGAACGAAGAUAACAAAGAAGUGGAUAGCACAAGAAAGAUAUUGCUAUAUAGCUACUAUGAUCUUCCAUAUUAUCCACGGCUUUGCCUAUUGCACCUAGGCAUAUACCCCGAAGAUUAUGAGAUAAAAAAGGACACUUUAAUUUGGAAGUGGGUGGCUGAAGGAUAUGUCCAUGAGGAACUAGGAAAAGGAUUAUUUGAGGUUGGAGAGAGAUACUUCAACAUGCUCAUAGAUAGAAGCAUGAUCCAGACGGUGAAGAGGCCAUAUUAUAGCAUCAUAUAUGCUUGUCGUGUGCAUGAUUUGGUACUUGAUAUGAUUCAUUUUCUUUCAGAAGACGAAAGUUUUGUUACUGCAUCGAACAGUAACAGGACAUCUCCGCGUACCAAUGCCCAUAGGUUAGCCAUAAAUAAUGAAGUCAUAGAGCAGGAUGGAUCUGUGGCUAACAUGAGCAUGAAGCAGGUGAGGUUAUAUAGUGCCACCAUGUGUCACUUUAGUAUGUUGCCAUUGCUUUCAAACUUUAAAGCUCUGCGUGUGUUGGCUUUAGAAGACUGCACUUUCAUGGGAAGUGAGCGCUCUGUGAAGCCGGAAGAUUCUCCUUAUCAUCUUAAUUAUCUUGGGAGGCUGAUUCACCUGAGGUACCUUGGGUUCUCGGACCGGCUGGUUGGGUUCUCCCUGCCUGGGAUCUCCAUGCCGCUUAUCUUAGAGGUCCCUGAAGAAAUAGGGGAUCUAAGAUUUUUGCAGGUACUGGACUUGGGCAGAAUUGGCAUUAAAAAACUGCCUCAAAUUGUUGGUCGGCUAACACAACUGAAGUGCCUGCGCUUUGGCGGUUCCAGUAUGGAGGUAUUGGAUUGCACGAGUUUAACAUCCCUGGAAGAGCUACAGUUGCACCUUGUCUCUCUAGAUUUUCUGAAAGGGCUUGCCAAGCUGAAGGAGUUGAGAAAGCUUAGCCUACACUUUGAAGAGGAGCACGAUAAUAUGUUGUUCAAAGAUUUGAUGGGACAUGUUGCCAAUCUGCAAAAACUUAAAGUCAUAAGUUUUAAUUGUAGGCAUCGACCGCAUCCUCAGCCGUGGUCCAACUACGAUGGCUCUGUGGCCCUUGGGCACCUCCGUCAUCUGACAGUGAAUGGCCUGCUUCCUGGGCUGCCAGUGUGGAUUAACUCCUCAUGCCUCCUGAACCUCUGCCACUUGCAUAUGGAACUGACGGCUAUGAAAUCGCAGGAUAUGGAGAUCCUCGGGAGGUUCUCAGAGCUCAUUACUCUGACCGUUCUUCUCUAUGAUUACAUGGUUUUCCCUACCGCCAUGGAGGAGGGUGCAUUUCCCAAGUUGAGAUACUUGGAACUGAAGAAUUCUAACCAGCCCAGAUUUGUACGGGGAGCAAUGUCCUGCCUUGAGUGUUUUAGGAUAAUAAUCGGCCUAGAAGGGACCAAUGGCUGGGACUUCCAUAGCCUGGUGAACCUCCCUCGUCUUGAGAAAGUUGAUGCUGAAAUCCUAGGCUACACUGGCAGGGGUAUCGGCGAAGACGAGCUGCAGGCACAUGAGUCGUUGAAGCAGGCACAUGUGUCGUUGAAGCAUGCAGUUGAGAUCCAUCCCAACCAUCCCACACUCAAGGUACGUGCUACUAACAUCGUAAAUGUAAUUUCUUUCUCAUGUACCGUAUGUACUUGUAAAAGGAGACGAGUUUAUUUCUCAUUUCACCUUUAUUUCAGUUGCAGAUUUAUCAUAGUUGAUCCGAUUUCCCAGCCGUCUUGCACUCAAUGUACCUGUUACGUGUAA
rnacentral:rRNA from 1 species